GUCAUGCGUAAAAUUGCUACUGACGUUAGAUUUAGGAGUGCGACGUUGCCGGCAAAAAACAUAUUUUAAUGUUAAAAAAGCUGUUGCGAUUAAUAUUAGAGAUUCCGGCAAGUCACAUCCGAUCCCGGGUCCCGGGUUAUAGAAUCCCCUCUAUUCUCUGUUCCCCAGACGCUUUAACAAAGUUAAUGUACAUACAAAACGAUCCAUUACAUAAUGUAACUUGAAACCUGGAUCACUUAGUAAGCGCAAAAUACAUACAAUCAUUGCGAGCUGUACUGUAUUUACAUGCGUGCAAAAAUCUCGGGCAAUUUUAACAGUUGUAAACAGUCGUGGAAAUGGUGCAAUUUUAACGGAAAUGAGACCAAGAAGAAAGAAACAGGAGAAUGUGGCAGCAGACUGCAUUGAUUCAGGGGAGGACCUCAAAGAUUUUGUUAUUGAACAUAUACCACCAAAAGGUCUUGGUGUUAGAACAACAAUAAAUAGAACAAAA